CCUCCUGAAAACAAGAUGGCUGACAGAGAAUGCACCAAGUAUUAGAUGUCUUUACGUGAAAGUCAGGGCAGGUAGUGAUUUCUACGCAAGAAUAUGUCUCGUUUUCCUCGCGAACGUUUCCCUCCCGACACGCUUCCGCCACCUCCGUUUACAAGGCCUAGAUUUCCCCAGGGUUCCCCUCGAUUUCAGCCAGGCUUUCAAAGAGGUGGCUUCGGGGCGUUCGGUCCACCGCGAUUUCAAAUUGGUCUAAGUUACCGUCAACCUGCGCCGUCUCACGGUUGGGGAAGACCGCCAUACAGCCACAGGGGGCGAGGAAGAGGGGACAGAUUUAACGCAAGCCAAGGAGCUGAGGCUUAUUACAAACACUCAAUGGUGGAAGACCCCUGGAAAGAACUUGAGGGAAGUUUGAAAAAAUAAAAAAACAAAACACAUAA